rnacentral:rRNA from 1 species
CGUGGAUAACCUACCUAUAAGACUGGGAUAACUUCGGGAAACCGGAGCUAAUACCGGAUAAUAUAUUGAACCGCAUGGUUCAAUAGUGAAAGACGGUUUUGCUGUCACUUAUAGAUGGAUCCGCGCCGCAUUAGCUAGUUGGUAAGGUAACGGCUUACCAAGGCAACGAUGCGUAGCCGACCUGAGAGGGUGAUCGGCCACACUGGAACUGAGACACGGUCCAGACUCCUACGGGAGGCAGCAGUAGGGAAUCUUCCGCAAUGGGCGAAAGCCUGACGGAGCAACGCCGCGUGAGUGAUGAAGGUCUUCGGAUCGUAAAACUCUGUUAUUAGGGAAGAACAAAUGUGUAAGUAACUAUGCACRUCUUGACGGUACCUAAUCAGAAAGCCACGGCUAACUACGUGCCAGCAGCCGCGGUAAUACGUAGGUGGCAAGCGUUAUCCGGAAUUAUUGGGCGUAAAGCGCGCGUAGGCGGUUUUUUAAGUCUGAUGUGAAAGCCCACGGCUCAACC